AGGAUUAGAUACCCUGGUAGUCCACGCUGUAAACGAUGAGUACUAGCUGUUGGAGUCGGUGUAAAGGCUCUAGUGGCGCAGCUAACGCGAUAAGUACUCCGCCUGGGGACUACGGCCGCAAGGCUAAAACUCAAAGGAAUUGACGGGGACCCGCACAAGCGGUGGAGCAUGUGGUUUAAUUCGAUGCAACGCGAAGAACCUUACCUGGUCUUGACAUCCUGCGAUCUUUCUAGAGAUAGAUUGGUGCCUUCGGGAACGCAGUGACAGGUGCUGCACGGCUGUCGUCAGCUCGUGUUGUGAAAUGUUGGGUUAAGUCCCGCAACGAGCGCAACCCCUAUUGAUAGUUACCAUCAAUAAGUUGGGUACUCUAUUGAGACUGCCGCUGACAAGGCGGAGGAAGGUGGGGA
rnacentral:rRNA from 1 species